rnacentral:rRNA from 1 species
GAUGAGCCCGCGGCCUAUCAGCUAGUUGGUGGGGUAAUGGCCUACCAAGGCGACGACGGGUAGCCGGCCUGAGAGGGCGACCGGCCACACUGGGACUGAGACACGGCCCAGACUCCUACGGGAGGCAGCAGUGGGGAAUAUUGCGCAAUGGGCGAAAGCCUGACGCAGCAACACCGCGUGAGGGAUGACGGCCUUCGGGUUGUAAACCUCUUUCAGCUCCGACGAAGCGAAAGUGACGGUAGGAGCAGAAGAAGCACCGGCUAACUACGUGCCAGCAGCCGCGGUAAUACGUAGGGUGCAAGCGUUGUCCGGAAUUAUUGGGCGUAAAGAGCUCGUAGGCGGUCCGUUGCGUCUGCCGUGAAAACCCGGAGCUCAACUCCGGGCCUGCGGUGGAUACGGGCGGACUAGAGUCCGGUAGGGGAGACUGGAAUUCCUGGUGUAGCGGUGGAAUGCGCAGAUAUCAGGAGGAACACCGGUGGCGAAGGCAGGUUACUGGGCAGUUACUGACGCUGAGGAGCGAAAGCAUGGGUAGCGAACAGGAUUAGAUACCCUGGUAGUCCAUGCCGUAAACGGUGGGCGCUAGGUGUGAGGGUCUUUUCACGACUUUCGUGCCGUAGCUAACGCAUUAAGCGCCCCGCCUGGGGAGUACGGCCGCAAGGCUAAAACUCA